AACAACCUCCCCGCAAGAGUUUCCUGGUCCCAUAAUUACAUAAAGCACAGCUAAGUUACCCAGGCCAGCAGAGUGGAUAAUAAUGAUAUGUAAUGACUGCAUGGAUGCAAACAAUCUGUGUCCAGGUG